rnacentral:rRNA from 1 species
CCUACGGGUGGCUGCAGUGGGGAAUAUUGCACAAUGGGCGAAACCCUGAUGCAGCGACGCCGCGUGAGUGAUGAAGGAAUUCGGUAUGUAAAGCUCUAUCAUCAGGGAAGAAAAUGACGGUACCUGAGUAAGAAGCCCCGGCUAACUACGUGCCAGCAGCCGCGGUAAUACGUAGGGGGCAAGCGUUAUCCGGAUUUACUGGGCGUAAAGGGAGCGUAGGCGGCAGUGCAAGUCUGGAGGGAAAGGCGGGGGCUCAACCCCGGGACUGCUUUGGAAACUGUACGGCUGGAGUGCAGGAGAGGUAAGUGGAAUUCCUGGUGUAGCGGUGAAAUGCGUAGAUAUUAGGAGGAACACCAGUGGCGAAGGCGGCUUACUGGACUGUAACUGACGUUGAGGCACGAAAGCGUGGGGAGCAAACAGGAUUAGAUACCCUGGUAGUC